rnacentral:snoRNA from 1 species
CUGCAACCAAACAAGCUCUUUCCCCACUAGGGCCCAGUGACCAGUGGUUGCAGACAGCCACCUCCUUGGCAGUGUCUGCAGCCUGCUGACUCCCUGAGUUGCCCUAAGAGACCAUGGAGACAGCC